rnacentral:rRNA from 1 species
GAUGAACGCUGGCGGCGUGCCUAAUACAUGCAAGUCGAGCGAACGGACGAGAAGCUUGCUUCUCUGAUGUUAGCGGCGGACGGGUGAGUAACACGUGGAUAACCUACCUAUAAGACUGGGAUAACUUCGGGAAACCGGAGCUAAUACCGGAUGAUAUUUUGAACCGCAUGGUUCAAAAGUGAAAGACGGUCUUGCUGUCACUUAUAGAUGGAUCCGCGCUGCAUUAGCUAGUUGGUAAGGUAACGGCUUACCAAGGCAACGAUGCAUAGCCGACCUCAGAGGGUGAUCGGCCACACUGGAACUGAGACACGGUCCAGACUCCUACGGGAGGCAGCAGUAGGGAAUCUUCCGCAAUGGGCGAAAGCCUGACGGAGCAACGCCGCGUGAGUGAUGAAGGUCUUCGGAUCGUAAAACUCUGUUAUUAGGGAAGAACAUAUGUGUAAGUAACUGUGCACAUCUUGACGGUACCUAAUCAGAAAGCCACGGCUAACUACGUG